CAGACAGAGACAGAACUCUGUGAAGAAAGCUGGGCGUGACUCUGUCAAAGUCACUUCUCUAUGUCUCAGUUUUUUCUUUAUUUUGAAAUGGAAUUUUGCCCUUGUUGCUCAUGCUGGAAUGCAAUGGCACAAUCUUGGAUCUCAGCUCACCGCAACCUCUGCCUUCUGGGUUCAAGUGAUUCUCCUUCUUCAGCCUCCCAUGGGAUCACAGGUUGCUUCUGUGAUAUGGGAGCUGAGAGAAGCUUUCGAUUGAAUGCAUUUUUGCUCUACAAAUUCAGAUGAAGUCAGCUGCAAUUUCCUGCUUGUUAGAGGCCCAGGAAAUGUGUGUGACGACAAAACUUACCCCCUAAUCUGUCCCUCAUCAUCACCAAGUGGGCUGCUAGAAUGCUCUUUGUGCUUGAGAUCUGGAAAUAAAAAUAUGGCUAGUCAAGGGUCUAAGGCA
rnacentral:lncRNA from 13 species